GAUGAACGCUAGCGGGAGGCUUAACACAUGCAAGUCGAGGGGUAAGAGUAGCAAUAUUCUGAGACCGGCGGACGGGUGCGUAACGCGUAUGCAACUUACCUUAAGCAGGGGGGAUAGGUCCCGGAAACGGGAUUAACACCUCAUAAACCAGAAGAGCUGCAUGGUUCGGAUGGAAAAACUGCGGUGGCUUAAGAUGGGCAUGCGUCUGAUUAGCUGGUUGGUAGGGUAACGCCUACCAAGGCGACGAUCAGUAGGGGUUCUGAGAGGAUACCACCCCCACACUGGUACUGAGACACGGACCAGACUCCUACGGGUGGCUG
rnacentral:rRNA from 1 species